GACGAACGCUGGCGGCGUGCGUAAUACAUGCAAGUCGAACGCUUCUUUCCUCCCGAGUGCUUGCACUCAAUUGGAAAGAGGAGUGGCGGACGGGUGAGUAACACGUGGGUAACCUACCCAUCAGAGGGGGAUAACACUUGGAAACAGGUGCUAAUACCGCAUAACAGUUUAUGCCGCAUGGCAUAAGAGUGAAAGGCGCUUUCGGGUGUCRCUGAUGGAUGGACCCGCGGUGCAUUAGCUAGUUGGUGAGGUAACGGCUCACCAAGGCCACGAUGCAUAGCCGACCUGAGAGGGUGAUCGGCCACACUGGGACUGAGACACGGCCCAGACUCCUACGGGAGGCAGCAGUAGGGAAUCUUCGGCAAUGGACGAAAGUCUGACCGAGCAACGCCGCGUGAGUGAAGAAGGUUUUCGGAUCGUAAAACUCUGUUGUUAGAGAAGAACAAGGACGUUAGUAACUGAACGUCCCCUGACGGUAUCUAACCAGAAAGCCACGGCUAACUACGUGCCAGCAGCCGCGGUAAUACGUAGGUGGCAAGCGUUGUCCGGAUUUAUUGGGCGUAAAGCGAGCGCAGGCGGUUUCUUAAGUCUGAUGUGAAAGCCCCCGGCUCAACCGGGGAGGGUCAUUGGAAACUGGGAGACUUGAGUGCAGAAGAGGAGAGUGGAAUUCCAUGUGUAGCGGUGAAAUGCGUAGAUAUAUGGAGGAACACCAGUGGCGAAGGCGGCUCUCUGGUCUGUAACUGACGCUGAGCUCGAAAGCGUGGGGAGCAAACAGGAU
rnacentral:rRNA from 1 species